ACUCCUGCGGGAGGCAGCAGUGGGGAAUAUUGCACAAUGGGCGCAAGCCUGAUGCAGCCAUGCCGCGUGUAUGAAGAAGGCCUUCGGGUUGUAAAGUACUUUCAGCGGGGAGGAAGGCGAUAAGGUUAAUAACCUUGUUGAUUGACGUUACCCGCAGAAGAAGCACCGGCUAACUCCGUGCCAGCAGCCGCGGUAAUACGGAGGGUGCAAGCGUUAAUCGGAAUUACUGGGCGUAAAGCGCACGCAGGCGGUCUGUCAAGUCGGAUGUGAAAUCCCCGGGCUCAACCUGGGAACUGCAUUCGAAACUGGCAGGCUAGAGUCUUGUAGAGGGGGGUAGAAUUCCAGGUGUAGCGGUGAAAUGCGUAGAGAUCUGGAGGAAUACCGGUGGCGAAGGCGGCCCCCUGGACAAAGACUGACGCUCAGGUGCGAAAGCGUGGGGAGCAAACAGGAUUAGAAACCCGUGUAGUCCCA
rnacentral:rRNA from 1 species